GACGAACGCUGGCGGCGUGCUUAACACAUGCAAGUCGAACGGUGAAGCGCCUUCCUUUUUGGUGGGUGUGGAUGAGUGGCGAACGGGUGAGUAACACGUGAGUAACCUGCCCCCUUCUUCUGGAUAACCGCAUGAAAGUGUGGCUAAUACGGGAUAUUCUGGGUCUGUCGCAUGAUGGGUCUGUGAAAGAUAUUGUUUCGGUGGGUGAUGGGCUCGCGGCCUAUCAGCUUGUUGGUGGGGUGAUGGCCUACCAAGGCGGUGACGGGUAGCCGGCCUGAGAGGGUGGACGGUCACACUGGGACUGAGACACGGCCCAGACUCGUACGGGAGGCAGCAGUGGGGAAUAUUGCACAAUGGGCGCAAGCCUGAUGCAGCGACGCCGCGUGAGGGAUGGAGGCCUUCGGGUUGUGAACCUCUUUCGCCAGUGAAGCAGGCCUGCCUCGUUUGUGGGUGGGUUGACGGUAGCUGGAUAAGAAGCGCCGGCUAACUACGUG
rnacentral:rRNA from 1 species